UGCAGUCGACGAUGAAGCCCUUCGGGGUGGAUUAGUGGCGAACGGGUGAGUAACACGUGGGCAAUCUGCCCUUCACUCUGGGACAAGCCCUGGAAACGGGGUCUAAUACCGGAUAUGACCAUCUUGGGCAUCCUUGAUGGUGUAAAGCUCCGGCGGUGAAGGAUGAGCCCGCGGCCUAUCAGCUUGUUGGUGAGGUAAUGGCUCACCAAGGCGACGACGGGUAGCCGGCCUGAGAGGGCGACCGGCCACACUGGGACUGAGACACGGCCCAGACUCCUACGGGAGGCAGCAGUGGGGAAUAUUGCACAAUGGGCGAAAGCCUGAUGCAGCGACGCCGCGUGAGGGAUGACGGCCUUCGGGUUGUAAACCUCUUUCAGCAGGGAAGAAGCGAGAGUGACGGUACCUGCAGAAGAAGCGCCGGCUAACUACGUGCCAGCAGCCGCGGUAAUACGUAGGGCGCAAGCGUUGUCCGGAAUUAUUGGGCGUAAAGAGCUCGUAGGCGGCUUGUCACGUCGGGUGUGAAAGCCCGGGGCUUAACCCCGGGUCUGCAUUCGAUACGGGCUAGCUAGAGUGUGGUAGGGGAGAUCGGAAUUCCUGGUGUAGCGGUGAAAUGCGCAGAUAUCAGGAGGAACACCGGUGGCGAAGGCGGAUCUCUGGGCCAUUACUGACGCUGAGGAGCGAAAGCGUGGGGAGCGAACAGGAUUAGAUACCCUGGUAGUCCACGCCGUAAACGGUGGGAACUAGGUGUUGGCGACAUUCCACGUCGUCGGUGCCGCAGCUAACGCAUUAAGUUCCCCGCCUGGGGAGUACGGCCGCAAAGCUAAAACUCAAAGGAAUUGAC
rnacentral:rRNA from 1 species